GGGGGUAUAGCUCAGGUGGUAGAGCACAUGCUUAGCACGCAAGAGGCUCUGGGUUCCAUUCCCAGUACCUCCA
rnacentral:tRNA from 1 species